UUCAGAUUAUGAGUCUCUAAUUUUUCAUUUCCUUCUCCUUCUAUGCGCUGUAAAGGGAAGCCACAAGAAUAACCAUGAACUACUUAUUCAGAAUUAUAAGUUGUUCCCCUCUAAUUCAAAAUUCAUGAGCCUGUAGCAGAACUCCCAAGAAUCUUAGCUGCAUUUCAUUUCUCCUACGCUCCAUACAUCGCGAGCGUUGAGAAAGGGAUGAAACACCUAGAAUUGCUUUCUUUCUACUUCACACUUUCGGCUGAGCAUCAAGCCACACAACUUGCAAGUGCUCCAUUCCUUAUUCCCUCCAAGCCGCAAGCUUUCUAAGUGGAAGACUAGCCACCAAGCAUUUCUUCCUCUUCUCUUAACCAUUCGGCUGGAGUCCAACCUUGUGGAGAUGAGAACCAGUGACCAUCUUCCUUUUUCCAGCCGAAGCAACCAGCCUCAAGGAGUUGUGAAUCGGAUUCCUUGAAGGCAAUUAAACUCGCCUUGCAUGUAGCUGAAAUCUUGGUCUUUGGAGAGUGGUACGGUGAGAAUUGUAGCGCAAAUUUUGGUGACUACCUUCCUGAACAAAUUGUGGAGCGAUGUUCACUAGUAAGGAGGUGCGCAAAAUUCCUAAAGUGUGGGCUGUUUUGAUGCUGCUUGAUAAUACUUGGACUCACAAGCAGGAGGACGGAAAAGCUUUUGAGGACUUGGAUAUUUGUUGUUGGCUUCUACUGUUUUGGGCAUGCUGUUAUUGAUGUGAUAUUUUAUGGAUGACUGUAUAAAAUUGAGAAGCUUUUAUUGCUGUGAACUAUGAUUUUAUUAUUGCAUUACGAUUUUAUGACUAGCAAGUAUUUUGGAAACAGAUGUUGAAACGUUUGCGAAAAGGAUUUUGACAUGUUAUCUAAAUGUUGAGUUUUGAAAAGUAUGUGCGAGCACUUUGUAAGUUGUCUUACUGGGGCUACGGACCUCCGAUUUUCUUAUAAUUUAUAUGCACGCGUAGCCCCAG